GGGUCUCUGGCUGUGGCAGGUCUGCCUCUUCUCCCUCACUCGUGGAUUGUAAGACGUGGGAGUGCAGAGUGCAAGACAUCAGCGUCAUUGAGGUCUCUCUUACAGAAGCAUUACAGAUGUGCAGAAUUUCACACGCAUUGUGCAACUGAAGUCCAAGUUUAUGCCAGAACUUGACAUCUGCUCCAGGCUGUCUGCUGAGUGCCAUAGGAAGGGAG